rnacentral:lncRNA from 1 species
CUUUAUAAAGCUCUAGCCAUUUGCCCAGUUGUGGGAAUGGUUAGAAUAGGUUCUUUACUUCACUGUUAAUACGAAAUCCAAAUAUUUUAGAAAUCGGUCCCAGAGGUCCCGAGAAAAACCGGUUCUAAUGUUCUCCUUAGAUAGUCACUUAAAAAAGUCUUUGGCAUUUGUCCAGUAGUGGGAGUGGUCAAAAUAGGUUCUUUAAUUCAUUUUUAACAAGAAAUCAAAAUAUUUUUGAAAUCGGUCCCAGGGGUCCCGAGGAAAACCGGUACAAAUGUUCUCCUUAGAUAGUUACUUUGCAAAGUCUUACGCAUUUGCCCAGUAGUGGGAGUGGUCAAAAUAUGUUAUUUACUUCACUCUUAAUACGAAACCCAAAUAUUUUUGAAAUCGCUCCCAGGGGUCCCGAGGAAAACCGGUUCAAAUGUUUUCCAUAGAUAGUCACUUUACAAAGUCUUAGGCAUUUACCCAGUAGUGGGAGUUGUCAAAAUAGGUUAUUUACUUCACUCUUAAUACGAAACCCAAAUAUUUUUGAAAUCGGUCCCAGGGCUCCCGCGAAAUUAACCUGACAAGACUUUUCUUCCAAUUAGGUCUCAUACAUACAUUGUCAAUCUCAACGCUCAGUAUGUGGUGGUCUAUCCAGUAGUGGAAAAUGUUG